GCGUGUUGAAGAAGGCCUUAUGGUUGUAAAGCUCUUUACUUAAGGAAGAACGCUCUUUUGGUUUAUACCCACGAUGAGUGGACGUUACUCGCAGAAAAAGCACCGGCUAACUCUGUGCCAGCAGCCGCGGUAAUACAGAGGGUGCAAGCGUUAAUGGGAUUUUCUGGGGGUAAAGCGCGGCGUGGGGUCUUUUUAAUUUAGAUGUGAAAGCUCCCCGGGCUUAACUUGGGAAUUCCAUUGGAAACUGGGAGAGUUGAGAGUAUGGGAGAGGCAGGGAGAAUCUCCAGGGGUAUCGGUGAAAUGUGGAUAGAGAUCGGGAGGAAUCCCGAUGGGGAAGGCGGCCUUCUGGUCCGAAUACUGACGCUGAGACUCACGAAACGCAUGGGGAGCAACCAGGAUUAGAUACCCGGGUAGUCCACUCCGGUAACAGGAUGUCCUAUAUGCUCGGUAGGUCUCGAGCCUUCAUGUCCGCAGCUAACGCUAUAAUAAUCCCCCCGGGGAG
rnacentral:rRNA from 1 species